AUAAUAUUUUUUAAUUCACGCGCAGUCAUUUUUUUCUUUCUAUAAAAUAACAUAUUUAAUAAUCUCGAAGAGAUUGAAAUUAAAUAUUAUAAAAAUUUAAUUAUUCAGAUUAAGUGUAACUAUCUUUCAACAUGAGCAAGACAAGAGAUGAGUGGAUUAAAUGGUUCACAAGCGAUCAAGAAAUUCAAAACUACCAUGUGGGCGACGACACUGUGGAAUUUCGAGGGUAUGUCUUAUGUGUCGAGGGUACAUGCUAUAUUAGAACAACAUAUGAUCCGCGUACUCCUCUCUUUAAAAUGUACGCCAGUAACGGCAAGUCCCAGUGAAUAAAAAUCACAUUUUGGGGCAAAAAUGCCACUAAGUGGUCUCCAAUGGUCAGUGAGCGCUCGAUUGUUCGUAUUCAAUGCGCCAAGGCGGGCGUUUUCAACAAUCAAUAGAGAGGAUCAGUUGUUCCAACUGCCAGUAUUGAAUUAACUAUACAGGCUAAUUCAGUUCUUACUUUUGAAGCCGAGAAGUUUUUGGACAUUACAACUGUCAAUCCCGUGCCAGUCGUUUAUGAGGAAGUCUUAUUAAAAGACAUCGCUGCUCAUGAAGAUAAAGAAAUAAAGGUGCAAGGUUGGAUUAAGGUACCGUUUAGACAAGUAACUCACGGUGGAGGUAGCCGUGGAUGUGGGACUAUUGUCGACCACGAAUGGCGUAUCAGAGUAAUCGUCCGCCUAUUUACCGACAAUCCCAAAUUGGUAUUAGGAACACGUGUCUCUGUCAGCGGUGUUUAUACUUCAAACGAGGGUUCUUCUCUAACUUGCGACAACAUCAAGAAUGUAGAGAUCAUGCCCGAGGAAAAUAUUCUAUCGGAAGAUGAAUUAUUUACGAUGGGUUUUAUCACACCGAAACGCAAAAUAGAAGAUUCUACUGAUGAACCCUCGACGAAAAGAUCACCUUUUGAUGAGUAACUCGAAAGUAAAGUUAUAUAAUUUUUUUUUUAAAACAAAUUACGUGACCGGUUUAAAAUUAAAUAAUUUAUUGGAAUAGGACAAGUUAUUAUUUAAUUUAAAAAAAAAAAAUUCGCAUUAAAAGUGUAAUUUAAGUUGGUCCUAAUAGCAGUUAAUCUUCGUGAUAAUAGUUAAUAAAACGUGUAUGUAUUAAUUAGCUGGGAUUUUAAUUAAGAACAAAAGUGACCUGAUUAACUUAAAGUGAUAUUAGAAACUAAAGUGAUUUUAAAGUGUAAUUGCAUAA
rnacentral:lncRNA from 1 species